UUUCAAGGUUAACACAACAUUGUUCUUUCAAGGUUAACACAACAUUGUUCUUUCAAGGUUAACACAACAUUGCUCUUUCAAGGUUAACACAACAUUGCUCUUUCUAGGUUAACACAACAUUGCUCUUUCAAGGUUAACACAACAUUGCUCUUUCAAGGUUAACACAACAUUGCUCUUUCAAGGUUAACACAACAUUGUUCUUUCAAGGUUAACACAACAUUGCUCUUUCAAGGUUAACACAACAUUGUUCUUUCAAGGUUAACACAACAUUGCUCUUUCAAGGUUAACACAACAUUGCUCUUUCAAGGUUAACACAACAUUGCUCUUUCAAGGUUAACACAACAUUGCUCUUUCAAGGUUAACACAACAUUGCUCUUUCUAGGUUAACACAACAUUGCUCUUUCUAGGUUAACACAACAUUGCUCUUUCUAGG